AUGCAGUGCAAAAGCGAAAGAACAUAACUGGUUCAUCUAACAAGUUCCCGAGUAGAGAGUAGUUAUAUGACGUGUAUCCCUAAUUAACGCCAGAAAUCAUAGCAGCACACGUAGUCCAACAAGACAUCAAAACAGUCGUAAAAGCAAGAACAACAAUGUUUAGCUGGUUUAUCUUCAACUGGGGGAUCACUUCUGCCGGGGAUGUCCAUGGUCUCUACCUCUGGUGGAUCCAUCUCUAUUGUCUCUCUCUCACAGACACACAAGAUGAAUUGGAUUAUUGAAAGGAGAUGGA
rnacentral:misc_RNA from 1 species